UACGUAGGGUGCAAGCGUUAAUCGGAAUUACUGGGCGUAAAGCGUGCGCAGGCGGUUUUGUAAGUCAGAUGUGAAAUCCCCGGGCUUAACCUGGGAACUGCGUUUGAAACUACAAGGCUAGAGUGUGGCAGAGGGGGGUGGAAUUCCACGUGUAGCAGUGAAAUGCGUAGGAGAUGUGGAGGAACACCAACAGCGAAGGCAGAUCUCUGGGACGUGACUGACGCUGAGACGCGAAAGCGUGGGGAGCAAACAGG
rnacentral:rRNA from 1 species